rnacentral:rRNA from 1 species
AGAGUUUGAUCAUGGCUCAGAUUGAACGCUGGCGGCAUGCCUUACACAUGCAAGUCGAACGCGAAAGCGGGGCAACCCGCAAGUAGAGUGGCGAACGGGUGAGUAAUACAUCGGAACAUAUCCAGUAGCGGGGGAUAACCUGUCGAAAGAUAGGCUAAUACCGCAUACGAUCUACGGAUGAAAGCAGGGGACCGCAAGGCCUUGCACUAUUGGAGUGGCCGAUGUCAGAUUAGCUAGUUGGUGGGGUAAAAGCCUACCAAGGCGACGAUCUGUAGCUGGUCUGAGAGGACGAUCAGCCACACUGGAACUGAGACACGGUCCAGACUCCUACGGGAGGCAGCAGUGGGGAAUUUUGGACAAUGGGCGCAAGCCUGAUCCAGCCAUGCCGCGUGAGUGAAGAAGGCCUUCGGGUUGUAAAGCUCUUUCGGUGAAGACGAAACGGUUAGCGCUAAUAACGCUGACUAAUGACGGUACUCACAGAAGAAGCACCGGCUAACUACGUGCCAGCAGCCGCGGUAAUACGUAGGGUGCAGGCGUUAAUCGGAAUUACUGGGCGUAAAGCGUGCGCAGGCGGUCUUGUAAGACAGGUGUGAAAUCCCCGGGCUUAACCUGGGAACUGCACUUGUGACUGCAAGGCUGGAGUACGGCAGAGGGGGAUGGAAUUCCGCGUGUAGCAGUGAAAUGCGUAGAUAUGCGGAGGAACACCGAUGGCGAAGACAAUCCCCUGGGCCUGUACUGACGCUCAUGCACGAAAGCGUGGGGAGCGAACAGGAUUAGAUACCCCGGUAGUCC